rnacentral:rRNA from 1 species
UCAAAUUGACACCGUAACUUCGGAAGAAGGUGUGCCGCUAGUAGGUGAAGGUGUACAACUGGAGCCAAACGCGGUUGCAAAAGAUAGGUGGCUGCGACUGUUUAUUAAAAACACAGCACUCUGCAAACACGAAAGUGGACGUAUAGGGUGUGACGCCUGCCCGGUGCCGGAAGGUUAAAUGAUGGGGUGCAAGCUCUUGAUUGAAGCCCCGGUAAACGGCGGCCGUAACAAUAACGGUCCUAAGGUAGCGAAAUUCCUUGUCGGGUAAGUUCCGACCUGCACGAAUGGGGUAACGAUGGCCACACUGUCUCCAACCGAGACUCAGCGAAGUUGAAAUGUUUGUGAUGAUGCAAUCUACCCGCGGCUAGACGGAAAGACCCCGUGCACCUUUACUGUAGCUUUGCAUGGGACUGUGAACCGAUCUGUGUAGGAUAGCUGGGAGGCUUUGAAGCGGGGGCGCUAGCUCCCGUGGAGCCAACGUUGAAAUACCAGCCUGGUUUGUUUGCGGUUCUAACCUACGCUCGUGAAUCCGGGCGGGGGACAGUGCAUGGUAGGCAGUUUGACUGGGGCGGUCUCCUCCCAAAGAGUAACGGAGGAGCUCGAAGGUACGCUAGGUACGGUCGGAAAUCGUACUGAUAGUGCAAUGGCAUAAGCGUGCUUAACUGCGAGACUGACAAGUCGAGCAGGUGCGAAAGCAGGACAUAGUGAUCCGGUGGUUCUGUAUGGAAGGGCCAUCGCUCAACGGAUAAAAGGUACGCCGGGGAUAACAGGCUGAUGAUCCCCAAGAGUUCAUAUCGACGGGAUCGUUUGGCACCUCGAUGUCGGCUCAUCACAUCCUGGGGCUGUAGCCGGUCCCAAGGGUAUGGCUGUUCGCCAUUUAAAGUGGUACGUGAGCUGGGUUUAAAACGUCGUGAGACAGUUUGGUCCCUAUCUGCCGUGGGCGUUGGACGUUUGAAGGGGGCUGCUCCUAGUACGAGAGGACCGGAGUGGACGAACCUCUGGUGUACCGGUUGUGACGCCAGUCGCAUCGCCGGGUAGCUAAGUUCGGAAGAGAUAACCGCUGAAAGCAUCUAAGCGGGAAACUCGCCUUAAGAUGAGACGUCCCGGGGACUUGAUCCCCCUAAAGGGUCGCGGAAGACCACCGCGUUGAUAGGCUGGGUGUGGAAGCGCAGUAAUGCGUUAAGCUAACCAGUACUAAUUGCCCGUGCGGCUUGAUCCU